ensembl:lncRNA
AAUAUUUAUUAUUUGGCACACUGCUCAGAUUGCAUUGAGUAUUUUUCUCUGUGCCUACCUGCAUACUUCUGUUUAUUAAUUUAUUUAUUCUGUUGUUUUGUUAUUUUGCUGAAAUUAAUUUUUAAUUAUCUUGUUAUAAUAAAAUUGGUUCUUUAAUCAAUGUGUUUCUAAUCUCCAGAACUGUUACACAGAUAUUUAUUUGAGAAUGGAAAAUCAUAUUUAGAGAGUUGCAGAACUGUUAUUUAAGGUCUGCGAGAAUAACCAUAUAUUUAAAUAUUAGGUUGUCAGAGGGCAAAAAAAAUAUGUCUUACUCUUAGACUUCUGUGACACAUUUCCUUUAUUUGUAGAGUCCUUUGAACUCAUCUUGUUCAUGGAUUUUUACUUGGUGAGAUUUGUUCUGUUAAUAUUGACAUUUUAAUAUUUCCUUUAAUUUUUUUUCCUUUCUGUUGGCUUCAUCUCCUUUACAUAAAAUUCAAACAUACCGUUAUUCUGUCACACUUCUCUAGGCUCUGUUCUUGCCAUCAUAUAAAUCUUUUUUACAUGUGGCAUUCUGUACUCUUGUAAAUCCAUUUCCACACUUAUGAGCUACUUGAAGGGAUCUUGCUUGUAUACUUUAUCCCAGAUUUCUCUGGUGGUACCAGUCUCCCAGUUUUGCUUGUCUGUUACUGUCCAUAACAACUAUUACACUAAACUACUGAAAACAUUAAGUGUAAAUGGAUUUGUUAUUUAUUACAUGUAAAUAAAUAAUUGUAUUGUGUUUGAUACAAUUUAUUUAUCCAGCAGAUUCAUUAUGUCUAAUCCAACACAGACUGAGGAGAUGUGCUUUUGCAUUCUUUGUCCAUAUGCACAGCUGUGGCAGCAUAUGUUGUAUUAAAGGUAGCGGACAGGAAAAUAUAAAAUUUGGUGACUUUGUGUGGUAGAUUAAUUCUGUGAAGCAGCACAGCAAGAACUUGGUAUGGAAUAACUGGCAGAGGGUGCAGCUUAGGACGUAAAAGCAGAGCCUGAGCUAACUUAUUCUCCUUUGAAAAGAGAAAGGUGUAAGUCAGUUAGUCCUUAAAAAUACUUGAAGAUGUCUCUUGGACUGGAGACUUUACGGAUAGUUAUGUGUGUACUGAGACUUUACAGCAAGAAUUGGGAGAAGCUUACAAAGCUUUGUUUCCCAUCGGAGAGAAAGCCUCUAUGUGCCUGAUCGGCAAAGGAAAAGAGGUGAGUUUGAAGGCAUUUAGUGCAGGGCAACUUGCUUUUUUGUUCAGACAGGGAAAGAGAGUUCUUAGGAGUGCAUGUGGGUCAUACAGUGAGUGAUGGAGACAGCUGGAAUCUGAAUGAGAUGGGAGGGGAAGGCUCAACUGCUGAAAUUCAAAGAUUUAAGAGAGCCAUUUGCCUUAAUUCUGACCUUUACAGCCAUUACUGCAGAUGCCAAUCAGACAAGCUAAUCUGUUACUUUAGUUUAAAUGCAUAAUACAUCAAAGCGGCUAAUUAAUGUUAUAAAAGUACCUUUACUGUUAAAUUCUACACAGGUACAUGCUGCUUUAUCCUAAUAAGUGAAAAUACUAAUUUGAGCUCCCUCUUCUGGCCCUGGCAAGCAAUCCGUUCUACGUAUCCUCUGCUUGGUCUUGUAAGUAAAUGGAGAUUUCACAAUGAAAUCACGAGAAAAACCCCCAAAUAUAAAUAACAUUGGUAAAAAAAAAGGUAACUAAAAAUAUAGAAAAAAAUAUUUCAGUUUUCAGAGAGAUUAUCAC